rnacentral:tRNA from 1 species
GGAUUAGUAGUUCAAUUGAUUAGAACUCAACACUGAUAAGGUUGAAAUAUAGGUUUAAAUCCUAUCUAAUCCA